rnacentral:rRNA from 1 species
AGUGGCGGACGGGUGAGUAACGCGUGAGAAUCUACCUUCAGGACGGGGACAACAGCUGGAAACGGCUGCUAAUACCCGAUAUGCCGAAAGGUGAAAAGUUAUCUCGCCUGGAGAGGAGCUCGCGUCCGAUUAGCUAGUUGGUGGGGUAAAAGCUUACCAAGGCAACGAUCGGUAGCUGGUCUGAGAGGAUGAGCAGCCACACUGGAACUGAGACACGGUCCAGACUCCUACGGGAGGCAGCAGUGGGGAAUUUUCCGCAAUGGGCGAAAGCCUGACGGAGCAACGCCGCGUGGGGGAAGAAGGUUUUUGGAUUGUAAACCCCUUUUUCUCAAGGAAGAACAAAAUGACGGUACUUGAGGAAUCAGCCUCGGCUAACUCCGUGCCAGCAGCCGCGGUAAUACGGAGGAGGCAAGCGUUAUCCGGAAUUAUUGGGCGUAAAGCGUUCGUAGGCGGCUGUUCAAGUCUGCUGUCAAAGACCGAGGCUCAACCUCGGGUCGGCAGUGGAAACUGGAUAGCUAGAGGUCGGUAGGGGCAGAGGGAAUUCCCAGUGUAGCGGUGAAAUGCGUAGAUAUUGGGAAGAACACCGGUGGCGAAAGCGCUCUGCUGGGCCGAACCUGACGCUGAGGGACGAAAGCUAGGGGAGCGAAUGGGAUUAGAUACCCC